CAGAUACAGUGAUGAUAACAUAGUUCAGCAGAUUAGCUCAUGAUGAGUCACGUUCUGUCUUUCGCUCCUAUCUGAUGUAUCUC
ensembl:snoRNA